UAAUAUUUACAGGUGAAACACACACAAUAUUACACAUAAACAGCUGCAACCAAUCCAUUCCAACAUGGCCUAGCGAUAUUACACAAAAUCGAUGCCAUUUUACAUUCAACCUCUUUGCAAUAAUAAGUCUCGCAACACUGUCCGCAUGAUGUUUGACGGAGUGAACGGAGUAGAGGGAGCCAUUUUUGUUUUGUUGUGGAGCAGUCGAUUCUUCAAUUUUAUGUUAAAAAUUCGUGAAAAAUCUUAAAGAUGUCCCAACAAACAGUGCUUACAUUGUUUAUGAGUGAAUUAACUGUGGUUUGUAUCGGUCCCGGAAGGAACAGUCCACCGGAAUCCACCCGGUGUGAGGUUCGUACCCCGUAAAGUACACGGCGGACGGCAGGUUACCAUCAUGUGGCCAAUAGAGUAAGAACACACCAGUGUGGCUCGAAUGAAUUCCAGAACGGACCUAGCUAGCGCCUACAGUGAAACGGAUCGAUACGAAACGAGUAUGAACGAGCUUUGUGAAUUAUUCUACUGUUUGGUGAAGGAAUCUAAACACAUCCUCGAGUGCCUUCAGGAAGGGUCUACUGCGGUUCCUCGGAUAAUUGUUUAAAACAUUAAAAAAUGUACUACAUGUUGUAAUAAAAAAAAGUUGAUGAUUUAAAUGAA